CCUUGUCUCUGGAGCUCUGAGGGCUUCCCCAGCUGCUCUCUCCAAGGAGCCUUGUCUGGAGCUCCGAGGGCUUCCCCAACUGUUUUCUCCACCAAGGAGCCUUGUCUGGAGCUCCGAGGGCUUCCCCAGCUUCUCUCUCCACCAAGGAGCCUUGUCUGGAGCUCCGAGGGCUUCCCCAGCUGUUCUCUUCACCAAGGAGCCUUCUCUGGAGCUCCGAGGGCUUCCCCAGCUUCUCUCUCCACCAAGGAGCCUUGUCUCUGGAGCUCCGAGGGCUUCCCCAGCUUCUCUCUCCACCAAGGAGCCUUGUCUCUGGAGCUCCGAGGGCUUCCCCAGCUGUUCUCUCCACCAAGGAGCCUUGUCUCUGGAGCUCCGAGGGCUUCCCCAGCUGUUCUCUCCACCAAGGAGCCUUGUCUCUGGAGCUCCGAGGGCUUCCCCAGCUGUUCUCUCCACCAAGGAGCCUUGUCUCUGGAGCUCCGAGGGCUUCCCCAGCUGUUUUCUCCACCAAGGAGCCUUGUCUGGAGCUCCGAGGGCUUCCCCAACUGUUUUCUCCACCAAGGAGCCUUGUCUGGAGCUCUGAGGGCUUCCCCAGCUGUUCUCUACACCAAGGAGCCUUGUCUCUGGAGCUCCGAGGGCUUCCCCAGCUGUUCUCUCCACCAAGGAGCCUUGUCUCUGGAGCUCCGAGGGCUUCCCCAGCUGUUCUCUCCACCACGGAGCCUUGUCUGGAGCGCUGAGGGCUUCCCCAGCUGCUCUCUACACCAAGGAGCCUUGUCUGGAGCUCUGAGGGCUUCCCCAGCUGCUCUCUACACCAAGGAGCCUUGUCUGGAGCUCCGAGGGCUUCCCCAGCUGUUCUCUCCACCAAGGAGCCUUGUCUCUGGAGCUCCGAAGGCUUCCCCAGCUUCUCUCUCCACCAAGGAGCCUUGUCUCUGGAGCUCCGAGGGCUUCCCCAACUGUUUUCUACACCAAGGAGCCUUGUCUGGAGCUCCGAGGGCUUCCCCAACUGUUUUCUCCACCAAGGAGCCUUGUCUGGAGCUCCGAGGGCUUCCCCAGCUUCUCUCUCCACCAAGGAGCCUUGUCUGGAGCUCCGAGGGCUUCCCCAGCUGCUCUCUACACCAAGGAGCCUUGUCUGGAGCUCCGAGGGCUUCCCCAACUGUUUUCUCCACCAAGGAGCCUUGUCUGGAGCUCCGAGGGCUUCCCCAGCUGUUCUCUUCACCAAGGAGCCUUGUCUGGAGCUCCGAGGGCUUCCCCAGCUGUUCUCUUCACCAAGGAGCCUUGUCUGGAGCUCCGAGGGCUUCCCCAGCUGUACUCUACACCAAGGAGCCUUGUCUGGAGCUCCGAGGGCUUCCCCAGCUUCUCUCUCUACCAAGGAGCCUUGUCUGGAGCUCCGAGGGCUUCCCCAGCUUCUCUCUCCACCAAGGAGCCUUGUCUGGAGCUCCGAGGGCUUCCCCAGCUGUUCUCUUCACCAAGGAGCCUUGUCUGGAGCUCCGAGGGCUUCCCCAGCUUCUCUCUCCACCAAGGAGCCUUGUCUGGAGCUCCGAGGGCUUCCCCAGCUUCUCUCUCCACCAAGGAGCCUUGUCUGGAGCUCCGAGGGCUUCCCCAGCUGCUCUCUACACCAAGGAGCCUUGUCUGGAGCUCCGAGGGCUUCCCCAGCUUCUCUCUCCACCAAGGAGCCUUGUCUGGAGCUCCGAGGGCUUCCCCAGCUGUUCUCUUCACCAAGGAGCCUUGUCUGGAGCUCCGAGGGCUUCCCCAGCUUCUCUCUCCACCAAGGAGCCUUGUCUGGAGCUCCGAGGGCUUCCCCAGCUGUUCUCUACACCAAGGAGCCUUGUCUGGAGCUCCGAGGGCUUCCCCAGCUGCUCUCUACACCAAGGAGCCUUGUCUGGAGCUCCGAGGGCUUCCCCAGCUUCUCUCUCCACCAAGGAGCCUUGUCUGGAGCUCCGAGGGCUUCCCCAGCUGUUCUCUUCACCAAGGAGCCUUGUCUGGAGCUCCGAGGGCUUCCCCAGCUUCUCUCUCCACCAAGGAGCCUUGUCUGGAGCUCCGAGGGCUUCCCCAGCUGUUCUCUACACCAAGGAGCCUUGUCUGGAGCUCCGAGGGCUUCCCCAGCUUCUCUCUCCACCAAGGAGCCUUGUCUGGAGCUCUGAGGGCUUCGAUGCCCAGUCGAGUCUGACGUGGCUUGGAGAGCAUCUUUCUGGGCUUGUCCCAAGCGCUGGAACUUGCAGCCAAGGCUGCCCCUUCCAGGUCAAAGCUUUGACAUCGCCCUUGAGCUGCCUCUGUACAGCCUGGCCACGUGGACCUCUCACUGGUCCAGGCUCACACAGCUGUGCUGCUCGGUGCGCCCCUCAGCCUAGACCACGAGAUUACUUCUGGUCUAGCUUGUUUUCAUCGUAG
ensembl:lncRNA